UACCGUGAAAAAAUUAGAGUGUUCAAAGCAGGCAGAUCCAAUUUUCUGCCACCGAAUACAUUAGCAUGGGAUAAUGGAAUAGGACCCUGUCCUCCUAUUUUCAGUUGGUUUUGGCAGCGCGAGGACUAGGGUAAUGAUUAAUAGGGAUAGUUGGGGGCAUUAAUAUUUAAUUGUCAGAGGUGAAAUUCUUGGAUUUAUGAAAGAUUAACUUCUGCGAAAGCAUCUGCCAAGGAUGUUUUCAUUAAUCAAGAACGAAAGUUAGGGGAUCGAAGACGAUCAGAUACCGUCGUAGUCUUAACCAUAAACGAUGCCGACCAGCGAUUAGGAGACGUUGAAUACAAAACACCACCAUCGGCGCGGUCGUCCUUGGCGUCUCGGUCCUUCACGGGGCCGGGGCGCGGGGGCGGCUUAGCCCGGUGGCACCGGUGAAUGACUCCCCUAGCAGCUUGUGAG
rnacentral:rRNA from 1 species